rnacentral:rRNA from 1 species
AUGAACGCUGGCGGCGUGCCUAAUACAUGCAAGUCGAGCGCACGGACGAGAAGCUUGCUUCUCUGAUGUUAGCGGCGGACGGGUGAGUAACACGUGGAUAACCUACCUAUAAGACUGGGAUAACUUCGGGAAACCGGAACUAAUACCGGAUGAUAUUUUGAACCCCAUGGUUCAAAAGUGAAAGACGUUCUUGCUGUCACUUAUAGAUGGAUCCGCGCUGCAUUAGCUAGUUGGUAAGGUAACGGCUUACCAAGGCAACGAUGCAUAGCCGACCUGAGAGGGUGAUCGGCCACACUGGAACUGAGACACGGUCCAGACUCCUACGGGAGGCAGCAGUAGGGAAUCUUCCGCAAUGGGCGAAAGCCUGACGGAGCAACGCCGCGUGAGUGAUGAAGGUCUUCGGAUCGUAAAACUCUGUUAUUAGGGAAGAACAUAUGUGUAAGUAACUGUGCACAUCUUGACGGUACCUAAUCAGAAAGCCACGGCUAACUACGUG